GUGCACCAGGCGCGAAACCUCCGCAAUACACGAAAGUGUGACGGGGCCAUCCCGAGUGCCGUCCGCUGAGGACGGCUUUUCCCCAGUGUACACAGCUGGGGGAAUAAGGAGAGGGCAAGCCUGGUGUCAGCCGCCGCGGUAAUACCAGCUCUCCGAGUGGUGGGGACGCUUAUUGGGCCUAAAGCAUCCGUAGCCGGCUGGGCAAGUCCUCCGUUAAAUCCAACGAUUCAAUCGUUGGGCUGCGGGGGAUACUGUCCAGCUUGGGGGCGGGAGAGGCCGACGGUAUUCCCGGGGUAGGGGUGAAAUCCUAUAAUCCCGGGAGGACCACCAGUGGCGAAGGCUGUCGGCUAGAACGCGCCCGACGGUGAGGGAUGAAAGCUGGGGGGAGCGAACCGGAUUAGAUACCCCUGUAGU
rnacentral:rRNA from 1 species